CGCACAUUGCGCCCCUUGGUAUUCCGAGGGGCAUGCCUGUUCGAGCGUCAUUUCAACCCUCAAGCUUCGGCUUGGUGUUGGGCCCUCGUCCCUCACCGGACGUGCCCGAAACCCGUAGGCGGUGGCCCUCAGCUCCCUGGCGUAGUUAUACAUUCCGCCAUGAGAACUGGGAGUCUCUCGCCUGACAACCCCCCAUUUUAAUCACUGAAGUUUGACCUCGGAUCAGGUAGGGAUACCCGCUGAACUUAA
rnacentral:misc_RNA from 1 species